UACGGGGGGGGCAAGCGUUGUUCGGAUUUACUGGGCGUAAAGGGCGCGUAGGCGGCGUGACAAGUCACUUGUGAAAUCUCUGGGCUUAACUCAGAACGGCCAAGUGAUACUGCAGUGCUAGAGUGCAGAAGGGGCAAUCGGAAUUCUUGGUGUAGCGGUGAAAUGCGUAGAUAUCAAGAGGAACACCUGAGGUGAAGACGGGUUGCUGGGCUGACACUGACGCUGAGGCGCGAAAGCCAGGGGAGCAAACGGG
rnacentral:rRNA from 1 species